rnacentral:tRNA from 1 species
GCCUUCGUGGUGGAAUGGUCAGCACGAUGGGCACGUAUUUCAGAGGUCCGUGGUUCGAGUCCCGGCGAAGACG